rnacentral:rRNA from 1 species
UACGUAGGUGGCAAGCGUUGUCCGGAUUUAUUGGGUUUAAAGGGUGCGUAGGCGGUUUUGUAAGUCAGUGGUGAAAUAUGUCAGCUUAACUGAGAGGGUGCCAUUGAUACUGCAGAACUUGAGUACAGAUGAGGUAGGCGGAAUUGACGGUGUAGCGGUGAAAUGCUUAGAUAUCGUCAAGAACACCUAUAGCGAAGGAAGCUUACUAGGCUGUAAAUGACGAUGAGGCACGAAAGUGUGGGGAUCAAACAGG